rnacentral:lncRNA from 1 species
CUUAUCUGGGGCUUUAGUCAUGGAAAAGUCAUUUGCAGUACUUUGUUUCCUCUCAAAUUGAGGUCAAAAUGUGCUAAUGUCUGUCGGGAAGGGCUGCUGAGUCUACAGUAUGAUGGACUGGAAGAGCCAUUAAAAUGCAGGACUGACAGCAAUGUCUGAUGUGCAUUAGUAUGCACUGGUGGUUGGACUCAGGUGUGCUGUAUAUCCUUCUCUGGGCCCAAUCCCUUCAGUGCUGUCCCACUCAAGUCCAGUAUCUUGUCCUCAGCACACAAAGCUGUCUGCCUCAGAAGCUGGGAUAGCAAGACAUGAAACCCUGAAUCCCUUGUGGUACUCAUUUUGCACACUACUGUACAGCUCCUACAUUUCUGUGAUUUGCAUUUCCCUGUGAAGCAGCCAAAUGAAUUAACAUUAAAGAUGGAGACUGAAAGAACGAUAUUCUCGUUAAAGAAGCUCUCUCUUUCAAAAAUCAAUGAGAUAAUAUCCUUUUAAAGCUAUUCCCAACUGUUGUCUCUCCUGAUUUGGCUCUAUGGGAGUUGGAAGUAUUGGGGAGAUUAAUGACAGAUUUAACAACAGAGAGGUUCACCUUAUUUCGAUCUGGUAUGGUUAAUGUCCUCUAAUGCUUUGUCCAUGCUGUGAAACCAGAGGAGAGGCCAUCUCAAUGCUUUUAUUUGUUCAGGUGAAGUGCUGGGUAACUGUGACUUUCUGGAUUACUAUAGGGGAGUGACUAGGCAGCUGACAGAAAGUCGAUGGCACCAUGGAAAAACAUCUCACCUCCAGGAGGCUUGCCACCACUUUCUCCUAGCCAGCAGGGAGCAGCCUGAGCUCACCUCGCCAGCAAGAGCCAGAACACUCCUCCUGAUUAGUCCUGGAAGAGCUGGCCAGGAUGUACUCAUAUCAUUUCAG